GACGAACGCUGGCGGCGUGCCUAAUACAUGCAAGUAGAACGCUGAGGUUUGGUGUUUACACUAGACUGAUGAGUUGCGAACGGGUGAGUAACGCGUAGGUAACCUGCCUCAUAGCGGGGGAUAACUAUUGGAAACGAUAGCUAAUACCGCAUAAGAGUAAUUAACACAUGUUAGUUAUUUAAAAGGAGCAAUUGCUUCACUGUGAGAUGGACCUGCGUUGUAUUAGCUAGUUGGUGAGGUAAAGGCUCACCAAGGCGACGAUACAUAGCCGACCUGAGAGGGUGAUCGGCCACACUGGGACUGAGACACGGCCCAGACUCCUACGGGAGGCAGCAGUAGGGAAUCUUCGGCAAUGGACGGAAGUCUGACCGAGCAACGCCGCGUGAGUGAAGAAGGUUUUCGGAUCGUAAAGCUCUGUUGUUAGAGAAGAACGUUGGUAGGAGUGGAAAAUCUACCAAGUGACGGUAACUAACCAGAAAGGGACGGCUAACUACGUGCCAGCAGCCGCGGUAAUACGUAGGUCCCGAGCGUUGUCCGGAUUUAUUGGGCGUAAAGCGAGCGCAGGCGGUUCUUUAAGUCUGAAGUUAAAGGCAGUGGCUUAACCAUUGUACGCUUUGGAAACUGGAGGACUUGAGUGCAGAAGGGGAGAGUGGAAUUCCAUGUGUAGCGGUGAAAUGCGUAGAUAUAUGGAGGAACACCGGUGGCGAAAGCGGCUCUCUGGUCUGUAACUGACGCUGAGGCUCGAAAGCGUGGGGGAGCAAACAGGG
rnacentral:rRNA from 1 species